rnacentral:lncRNA from 1 species
AAUCACAAACUGAGGACAGCUAGUUUCUGCCAUCACCCAAUAUUUCUUAACCAUUGCUCUCAACUGAUCAACUGUAAGUUUUUUCAUCUCCAUUAGUUCUUCAUCAGAAGUCAUUUUAAGCAUUUCUCGGUAUUUGGAUUUAAGAUAUUUUUUUGUGGUUGGGAUCAUAAUAGCCGAAGAAACCAACAUUACAAGCUGAAGAAACAUGAAAAUCAAUGCAACUAUUUCCUCGACAAACAUUAUUCGGCGAUGAAGAAAACCACGCAUUUGGACAAUUUGAAUGCAGACAUUCACAAUCACAGUAAGUAC